rnacentral:rRNA from 1 species
AAUACGUAGGGUGCAAGCGUUGUCCGGAAUUAUUGGGCGUAAAGAGCUCGUAGGCGGUCUGUCGCGUCUGGUGUGAAAACUCAGGGCUUAACCCUGAGCUUGCAUCGGGUACGGGCAGACUAGAGUGUGCUAGGGGAGACUGGAAUUCCUGGUGUAGCGGUGAAAUGCGCAGAUAUCAGGAGGAACACCGGUGGCGAAGGCGGGUCUCUGGGCCGACACUGACGCUGAGGAGCGAAAGCGUGGGGAGCGAACAGG